GGUUGAUCCUGCCAGUAGCCAUAUGCUUGUUUAAAGGAUUAAGCCAUGCAUGUGUAAGUAUUAAUGAGAUUUUAAUAGUGAAACUGCGAAUGGCUCAAUAAAACAGUUAUAGUUUAUUCGAUGAUAUUAAAAAGUUUAUUUGGAAUAACCGCAGUAAUUCUGGGGCUAAUACAUGCUUAAAAGGGAAAUAUUUCAUUUAAAAAAGGAUAUUUUACCUGUAUUUAUUAGACUUGAAAAUUGGUACUGUAGUAAUACAGUUCUUAAAGGUUGAACCAUAAUAACUAUGUUGUAA
rnacentral:rRNA from 1 species